CGAUUGAUCAUGUAUGUUAUUGUGAGGCAGAAUUCACCAAGCGUUGGAUUGUUCACCCACUCAUAGGGAACAUGAGCUGGGUUUAGACCGUCGUGAGACCGGUU
rfam:Oryzias latipes DNA, ultracontig104, strain: Hd-rR.